rnacentral:rRNA from 1 species
UGGGGAAUAUUGCACAAUGGGCGCAAGCCUGAUGCAGCCAUGCCGCGUGUAUGAAGAAGGCCUUCGGGUUGUAAAGUACUUUCAGUCGGGAGGAAGGUGGUAAGGUUAAUAACCUUAUCAAUUGACGUUACCGACAGAAGAAGCACCGGCUAACUCCGUGCCAGCAGCCGCGGUAAUACGGAGGGUGCAAGCGUUAAUCGGAAUUACUGGGCGUAAAGCGCACGCAGGCGGUUGAUUGAGUCAGAUGUGAAAUCCCCGGGCUUAACCCGGGAAUUGCAUCUGAUACUGGUCAGCUAGAGUCUUGUAGAGGUGGGUAGAAUUCCAUGUGUAGCGGUGAAAUGCGUAGAGAUGUGGAGGAAUACCGGUGGCGAAGGCGGCCCCCUGGACAAAGACUGACGCUCAGGUGCGAAAGCGUGGGGAGCAAACAGG